rnacentral:piRNA from 1 species
AAAGGCUUUACUGGGAAAGGACC